rnacentral:lncRNA from 1 species
GAUUGAUCGAGACAAAGGGGAUAUUUGUUAGCAGGAAGUUCACGAAGUUUAUGUUCACAAGAUCUUCUCUCAUCCCAAAUGCUCUUAAUGCAGGAAAAAAGAUACCGAGCUACACGAAGUAUAACGAAAUACAUGGCUAUACAUGCCAAGUUUAGAAAUGUACAAUCAACUACACGAACUAAAUAUAUUGCAUGCCCACAUAUACCAACUAUAUGAUGACAUGUGAUCAACAUCACGAACAUUUUAUUCUGGUACACCAAUCAUUAAAAUCCGGCGAUGACCAUCGUUGACCGGUAUUACAACAAAAAUAUUCAAAAAAAUUAUUUUUAUUUGUUUUAAAAUUCUAUUGAAUCUUUUAUGGUACUGUAUAAUUAAAGAAGAAAUCCCAUUCUAUAUUCAACAUAAAGAAAUUUUGUAUUAAUACAUUGAUUAUUAUAAUUAGUUAGUUUUCUCAAUUUCAAAACUAAAAUAAAAGUGAAAUACAAAUAAUUAAGCGAAUUACUUAUUUUUACAUUGUCAAUAAAAACAUUAACUUAUUAUUUUACAAAUAUUUUUGCUAACAUCAAUAUAGUUAAUUUUCUAUUUCCUAUAUAUUAAAAAAAAUUGCAACCUUUUUUGUUGUUUACGCGUUAUUACGAGAAUGUUUUUUAAUAAUUUUAAUUACAAAAGUUACCAAUGUAUUACGUUUAGACUAAAGAGUAUGUAAAAUUUUCUAUAUUUUUAACUAUGUAUCAUAAUUUUGAUUUUAGCAUAAAACUUUAUAUUUUUUACCAUGCCAAUUUUAGAUUAAAGUGUCAUAAACUCAAUUUUUCUAAUAAAAUUUAUUUUAUUUCACUUUUAAUUUAGUUUUGAAGUUGAAAAAAUUAACUAAUUAUUGGAAUCAUACAAAAAAAUUUUUGUUAAAUAUAGAAUGUGUUUUUUAUUAUUAUACAACACCAUAAAUGAUUCAAUUGAAUAUUUCUUUUAAAAUAAAUAAAAAUAUUUUUUUGAAUAUUUUUGUUGCUCAAUGCCGGUCAAUACCGGUCAACGAUGGCCAACGCCAGAUUUUGAUAAUUGGUGUACGAGAAUAAAAUGUUCGUGAUGUUCACCACAUGUCGUCAUAUAGUUGGUAUAUGUGGGCAUGCAAUAUAUUUAGUUCGUAUAGUUAGUUGUACAUUUUAAACCUUGGCAUGUGUGACCAUGUAUUCUGUUAUACUUCGUGUAGCUCAGUAUUUUUUUUCCCUUAAUGCAUAGCAGAAGAUGAUCCAACGUCUUUGCUUGUUGUAUUUGUUUUUUGUUUGUUUGCACCAUUGUAAAUUCCUAACUAGAGAGUUGAAUCUGGUGAAUUGUCGUUUGUCUUCUUGGGGUUUCUAUUGAUAUUUUGUAGAGUUAUGGGAUAAUGUUGAAUAAAAGAAAGACUUAUUUUAGGAAUUACUGUAAUGUGCUAUGUGUUUCUUUUAUUAAUUGAGGGGGUGAUUGG